GUUCCUGCCGCUGCAGCUCCCGGAUGGCGGAGCGGAUCCGCCGCCGCUCUGCUAGAUCUGCCGUGACCUCCAGCUGCAAUGCAGGUGGGGAGCUGGGAGGUGCAGGCAGAGAUGAAACUUCCGUAGCUGGUCCAGUUUAGCCAAGAACCAGCUUGUCUUAAUCUGAAGAGAGCAGGCAAAGCCUUGAGGGACAGCUCUCCAGAUCCACUUUCCUGAGGAGCUAUGGAGGAUGGAAUGAAGGCCUUUGGGACUGGGCAAGAAGAGGAGGAGGGUGCAGUGACGCAGCGUGGCCUCCUCUACAUACAAAACACGCACAUGCAAAACCAUUGCCUCUCCUCUCGGUUCCCAUCAGCCAGGAGUAGACGGCGAAGGAAAGACAGAACAUACUGCAAGGCUCGUCUAAGACUGAAGAUGGCUACAACCCUGGAGUCUCUGUGAAGGUGGGAACUUUGAGGUUCAGUAUUGGAGACCCCUCUAGCCUGUCUGGAAAUGUCAAAGCCUUAGGAGACCUUAUCACAACCAAGGGAAAGACGCUUAUUUCCCUGAAACAUUUGGAGGUUGGUGCCUUAGGGACAGCUGGUUCAGACUGGUCCAGAGGAUAAAAGCCCUGAGACACAAUGACUAAUCCUUUAUAUCAUGGACCCCCGUUUCCAAGCCCCGGGGUGGAGGGAGAAUAAGAUGGGAAGUUGGACAUUUCUUCAACCCCUGGUUAUCUCAGUAUCUCGAUCUGGAAACUGGAAUCCUCUCUCUGAAUCCCCUAAGUGGAUGGGGUGGCCGAGGGAUGAACCUCAUUCUGCUGACCACUCCCUGGCAUGUUCCUUCCUUUUGGGACUGUGGGCAAAGCUCUGACCUGUGUCCCUGUUGUAUGUCUUGUGUUCCCCACCCUCUCACACACCAAAGGUCGGAUCACAGUGUUCCUACUGUGUCCAGAGUUCCCCACCCUCUCAGUAACCCCCACUGUGUGUGGAGGGGACUGUGAGAGGGAGGGAAGGAAAUACAAAGAGCUAUUGUCCACCCGGGGGAAGGGGACGGUUUCCGAAACUGCCUAGUGAAAUUCUCCUGGGAGGAAAAAGGGUGCUUCCUCCUCCUGCGGGAGGCUGGAGGGGGCGGGACUGGCGGGACUGGCGGGACUGGACCUCUGGCGCUCUCUUGCUGCUGGGGGCGUCCGGCCGACCCAGCGUCUCGGUUAACUUUAGUCUUUCCACCUGCCUAAGAAACUGGACUUACUUAGGUCCUCCCUCAAUCCCAGGAUCAGAGCUGCCCGCAGUGUUGAGAGCAAUGGGGGAACGUCUCGCCAGGGGGCGCUGAAGGCCCGCAGGCUGCGGCCACUAGCGCGGGGCUCGCCCACGCCCCACCCACCCUUCUCCAGCCAGGCGCCGCUGCUAGGAGUCCGGCAGGAAGCCCCCCGCUACCGCCGGCUUUAACGUCCCAUCUGCAAAGGAAGGGAGGUUCACAGCACCUAAGCCGCUUCCCAGGUCACCCGGCUAGAAGGCGUGCAGACACGUGGCAUGGGGACACGCGGCGUGCUUGUCCCCGGGUACCCCUGUCCCGCGCAGCCCACCAUCCCGACCUCAGGAAUGUGCGGGAGAGGGGCCGGAAGCAGCUGCGGCUCCCGAGUCAGCUGGGCACAGCUUUCCCAUAUAAGGCCGGGCCCCCGCGGGGAGGAGCCGGGCUUGGGACGCCCCCGUUCCUGCCACGAGGCCGGAGGGUGGGACCCUCACAGCUCCGGGGCGCAGCAAUGGCGGGGGCGGGGCGGUGGAGCCUCAGGGCUGGGGUGGGCCUGGGACCGCGGAUCCGGGUCGGGGUUUGGCCUCGCUCGUCCUUUCCUCCCAGGCCUCGGGGCUGGGAGGAAGUGCGUCCGUCAACUACCGCUUCUGUUUCUUCUCUCUAACGCUUUCCCCAGCUCCCAAACUUUGCGUGCGUGGGGUCUGAUGCUGGAGAAUCCCUGAGAGUGCGUGGACACCCAGCCUGGCUUUCCCUGUGGAAAGUCUGCGACCCUCACAAGGACUCUGACUUUUUGAGGGACGGUGAAGACGGCUGCUGGGCGUCUUUGGAGACCCAACCCCAUCUCCUGGCUCUAGGAAGUAGCUGCCCUGAACUCAAGACGAGGUUAAGGUGCUGGCCCCAGGAUAUACAGGCCAAACUGCCUAGGGGAUGUCAAGGCAACUAGGUCAAGUGGUCCCAGCCUCUUUCUCUAGGGGCAAGGAUUGCUGGUGGUGUGGGGCAUUGUAGAGAAAGCAAAUCUCUUACUUUUUUGCCCUGGAUAGAGAUCAGAGGCUGGGUGGUGGGGCUCUGGCCCCUCUCCCCAUGGCCUACCACAUGGCCGUGUGUGUAGAUGGACACAUUACAGGCCGGUGCUGUCGCACUGCCUCUCUGUGCAUGGUCAUAGGAAGAAGAUGGUAAACAGGGAUGGAGUGGACUAAACCCAGCCUCUAUCCCAAAGUUAGGGCCAUAUCUUGUUUCAUCCCUGUGCUAACACUAGCAACUUAUUUAUUUAUUUAUAAUUUAAGUGCAUUGAUGUUUUGCCUGCAUGCAUGUCUGUGUGAGGG